AGACAAUGAACUGGAUUGGUUAUGGAUAUGAACUUGCACAGCAAAUACUUGGUGAUGAAUUCUACUAAGGAAAACCAUCAGAGAAAACUGCUAGAGUCAUGAUGUACCAUUCAUCUAUGGAAGGCUCUGAUGGGAAGUUGAAGAAACAUAUUGUUGAGACGUAACAGACUGAAAGGUCUACAAUCCGACUGAUAUUUGCAUCUGUGGCUCUAGGCAUGGGUGCAGAUUUGAGGCAUGUUAAAAGGGUGAUUCAUGCUGGACCUCCUGCCUCCUUAGAAACUUACAUACAAGAGAUCGGCAGAGCAGGAAGAAGCCAUGCUGAUGCCCUGGCCAUUCUCUUCUUUAACAAAUCAGACAUUGCAUCUGCACAUAUGACCAGAGAAAUGAAGGACUAUUGUGUAAACUCAACUAUCUGCCGAAGAACUUUAGUUAACCAGUAUUUUGGUUUUGAAACUCAGGAAGUCAAACAGUUUUCAAUUUGUUGUGAUUUGUGUUAUAAUGAACUGGGGAUAGAAUAUGAUUUUAGUAAACUGUAAGCUAACUAAAUGCAUACAUAUUAUUACAAGUUUCCUUGAUAAAUUGAAUUUUCACAUUUUUUUAGGAAAGUCUAUCCUCGAAUAUUUUAAAUAUCUUAAAUAUAUUUGAUUGGAUUGUUUUAUUAUGCCCCCCUUCGAAGAAGAGGGGGUAUAUUGUUUUGCUCAUGUCGGUCCGUCCGUCCAUCCACCAUAUGGUGUCCGGAUGAUAACUCAAGAACGCUUAGGCCUAAGAUCAUGAAACUUCAUAGGUACAUUGAUCAUGACUGGCAGAUGACCCCUGAUUUACAGGUCACAAGGUCAAAGGUCAAGGUUGCAGUGACUCGAAACAGUAAAAUGGUUUCCUGAUGAUAACUCAAGAAUAAUUAGGCCUAGGAUCAUGAAACUUCAUAGGUACAUCGAUCAUGACUGGCAGAUGACCCCUAUUGAUUUUCAGGUCACUGGUUCAAAGGUCAAGGUCACAGUGACAAAAAACGUAUUCACACAAUAGCUGCCACUACAACUGACAGCCCAUAUGGGGGGCAUGCAUGUUUGCAAGUGUUCUUUCCACUGGCAAUGGAAUCAAUUAAUUCAGUAUUAAAGUGUCCCGAUAUCUGAUCCAUUGUAUACAACAUGCCUGAAUGGCUCAGAGUGACACCCAAAGGUUGAAGUCUGUCAUACACCUACAAUGAUCCAACAUUUUUGUCUAUGAUU